GACGAACGCUGGCGGCGGGCUUAACACAUGCAAGUCGAACGGAAAGGCCCUGCUAUUGUGGGGUGCACGAGUGUCGAAAGGGCGAGUAUCACGUGAGUAACUUGCACUUGUUUUUGGGAUAACUUCAGGAAACUGGGGCUAAUACCGGAUAGGAGCUCCUGCUGCAUGGUGGGGGUUGGAAAGUUUCGGCGGUUGGGGAUGGACGCGCGGCUUAUCAGCUUGUUGGUGGGGUAGUGGCUUACCAAGGCUUUGACGGGUAGCCGGCCUGAGAGGGUGACCGGCCACAUUGGGACUGAGAUACGGCCCAGACUCCUACGGGAGGCAGCAGUGGGGAAUAUUGCACAAUGGGCGGAAGCCUGAUGCAGCAACGCCGCGUGCGGGAUGACGGCCUUCGGGUUGUAAACCGCUUUCGCCUGUGACGAAGCGUGAGUGACGGUAAUGGGUAAAGAAGCACCGGCUAACUACGUG
rnacentral:rRNA from 1 species